UUGUCUUUUACUCCGUAAUCAUGUGUUUUGAUGAUUGAACUCGUGGGUGAGUGCAUAUUUUUGAGGAAUAUAUUAUCAAAAAUUUAAAGGUAAGAGAUUUAAUUUG